rnacentral:rRNA from 1 species
CCUACGGGGUGCAGCAGUGGGGGAUAUUGCACAAUGGGGGGAACCCUGAUGCAGCGACGCCGCGUGGGUGAAGGAGUGCUUCGGCAUGUAAAGCCCUAUCGGCAGGGAAGAAGCAAGACGGUACCUGACUAAGAAGCCCCGGCUAACUACGUGCCAGCAGCCGCGGUAAUACGUAGGGGGCGAGCGUUAUCCGGAUUCACUGGGUGUAAGGGGAGCGUAGACGGCCAUGCAAGCCAGGGGUGAAAGCCCGGGGCCCAACCCCGGGACUGCCCUUGGACCUGCAUGGCUGGAGUGCGGGAGGGGCAGGCGGAAUUCCUGGUGGAGCGGUGAAAGGCGUAGAUAGCAGGAGGAACACCGGCGGCGAAGGCGGCCUGCGGGACCGCGACUGACGUUGAGGCUCGAAAGCGUGGGGAGCGAACAGGAUUAGAUACCCCAGUAGUC